rnacentral:ncRNA from 1 species
GGGUUGUUUUCUAAUAUUGUCUAAUAUACCAGCAGGAGUGGAGCCUGCGGCUUAAUUUGACUCGAAACGGGGAAACUUACUAGGUCCAAACAUCGUAAGGAUUGACAGACUGAGAGCUCUUUCUUGAUUCUAUAGGUGGUGGUGCUUGGCCAUUCUUAGUUGGUGGAGUGAUUUGUCUAGUUAAUUCUGUUAACGAACGACACCUGAACCUGCUAACUAGCUAUGCGGAGGUAUCCCUUCGUGGCUAGCUUCUUAGAGGGACUAUAGCCUUCUAGGCCAAGGAAGUUUGAGGCAAUAAUAGGUGUGAUGCCCUUACAUGUUUUGGGCUGCACGAGCGCUACACAGAUGUAUUCAACGAGUCUAUAGCCUUGGCCGACAAGCCCGGGUAAUCUUUGAAAUUUCAUCGUGAUGGGGAUAGAUCAUUGCAAUUGUUAGUCUUCAACGAGGAAUUCCUAGUAAGCGUGAGUCAUCAACUUGCAUUGACUAUGUCCCUGUCCUUUGUACACACCGCCCGUCAGUCCUACCAAUUGAAUGGUCCGGUGAGGUGUUCGGAUCGCGGUGAAGUGGGCGGUUCACUGCCGGUGACGUCGCAAGAAGUCCACUGAAGCUUAUCAUUUAGAGGAAGGAGAAGUCAUAACAAGGUUUAUGUAGGUGAACCUGUAGAAG